GACGAACGCUGGCGGCGUGCUUAACACAUGCAAGUCGAACGGAAAGGCCCUGCUUUUGUGGGGUGCUCGAGUGGCGAACGGGUGAGUAACACGUGAGUAACCUGCCCUUGACUUUGGGAUAACUUCAGGAAACUGGGGCUAAUACCGGAUAGGAGCUCCUGCUGCAUGGUGGGGGUUGGAAAGUUUCGGCGGUUGGGGAUGGACUCGCGGCUUAUCAGCUUGUUGGUGGGGGUGUGGCUUACCAAGGCUUUGACGGGUAGCCGGCCUGAGAGGGUGACCGGCCCCCUGGGAACUGGAAACGGGCCCGGCUCCGUCCGGGGGGCAGGAGUGGGGAUUCUUCCUCAUUGGGCGGAGGCUGCAGCCGCAACGUCGGCGUGGGGAAUGAGGCCUUUCGGUUGGGAACCGGCUUUCGCCUUUGAGGAGGGUUGAGUACCGGUAUUGGGUAAGAAGCACCGGCUAACUACGUG
rnacentral:rRNA from 1 species